rnacentral:rRNA from 1 species
GACGAACGCUGGCGGCGUGCUUAACACAUGCAAGUCGAACGGAAAGGCCCUGCUUUUGUGGGGUGCUCGAGUGGCGAACGGGUGAGUAACACGUGAGUAACCUGCCCUUGACUUUGGGAUAACUUCAGGAAACUGGGGCUAAUACCGGAUAGGAGCUCCUGCUGCAUGGGGGGGGUUGGAAAGUUUCGGCGGUUGGGGAUGGACUCGCGGCUUAUCAGCUUGUUGGUGGGGUAGUGGCUUACCAAGGCUUUGACGGGUAGCCGGCCUGAGAGGGUGACCGGCCACAUUGGUACUGAGAUACGGCCCAGACUCCUACGGGAGGCAGCAGUGGGGAAUAUUGCACAAUGGGCGGAAGCCUGAUGCAGCAACGCCGCGUGCGGGAUGACGGCCUUCGGGUUGUAAACCGCUUUCGCCUGUGACGAAGCGUGAGUGACGGUAAUGGGUAAAGAAGCACCGGCUAACUACGUG